ACCUGGCUGGCUCAGUUGGUAGAGCAUGUGACUCUUGAUCACCGGGUCAUGAGUUCAAGCCCCAUGUUGGGCA
rnacentral:tRNA from 1 species